CUAAGUUCCUAUAGUCUUCUUGGACUGAGAUGAAAGAUAGCUGCUUUUUCCCCCCAGGAAACAGGCAGCAUCUGAAGCAGACGUAGAAACUGCACUGAGAAAAGGAGGAACAAAAUAUAAACUCUAAAUAGAGUUUUAUAAAUCUUAACAGAGGAUAUUGGUUUUGGAAGAGAGUUUAGGUUCAGAAGUUUGGGCAUUGGAGUAUGAGAGCCAAAGCUCCAAUUAGCCAUCCAAAAGGCUUGUGAAAAAAUGCUGAAUGAGCUUUCUGUAGAAAUCUUUUCCUCUCUUAGUCUUGCUUAAAGAAUUUCUUGGGCUGUAGACAAGAAGCUGAAUCAGAAAUACCAAGAUUUAGCCAGUUUGGGCCAGUAUUAUGGAGUAGGAGGAUAGUAUUAUGGAGUGAUAUGGUGUUUUUCAGUACAGAUGAUCAGUUUCUCAAAUCUCUGGUAGUCUUAGGAGUGGUAUGUAAGGGCAUCCCAAAAUAUCUCAUCACUCCAAAAGAGGAAAGGAUGCCAGAGAGACAGCCUGUGGGCCUAGGGCAAGGAAAGCAGGGUGCACUAUCAGCUGGAGGCUGAUGAAAACUCAGACAUCAGCAGUGAGUGGCUAAACCAAAGAGCAAUGUGAGCCAAAAACCAGAAGUCUCUCUCCUGCCCUCACUCCCAGUAGCCUAGCUGUGAUACAGGUUUCCCAGAACUUGAAUUAGCUCUGGGGAGAAUGGUGAAGGGGAAAUCCUGGAAUGUCAGAAAGCACCAGUUUGACAAAAAUUAAGUUCUCUGAUACUAGGUAAAAUGGGCUUAAAGUAGAGUUUAGGUUGAAUAGUAGAAAAGUAAAAUGACAUUUUCUUUUUUUGCAUAUCUAAAUUCUGAGAAAUGUGUACCCACUACAUAAGCAGAAUAAAUAAAUCCAAUGUCAUAUUAGAAACUAAAAUUAGUAAUGAAUGAACAUUAUUCAACUGUAUUGAAUAACUUUGUUUGUAUGGCACUUGAGAGUUGACAAGUGGUUUUGUGUACUUAAUCUUAUUUGGUCCACUCAAUAGCCUGCAAGGUAAGCAAGUCAAAGACCUUUCCUUUACUUGAAAAUAUAGACAGCUAUGAAAUACCAUCCCUGAAUAUUCAUUGAUUCAAUUCAUCCAAGAAAUCAGUGAAAUGCCAUAUACUUACCACCUACUUGACAUUUCAUUUUCCCUGGAGUGCAUUUCCAAGAGGCUGUGAGGGAUAUAGAGCAGGGUCACAAAAGCAUCAUGAGAGGUAGGAAUGUAGUAAGACCAAAGGGUGGCAAUGCCUAUAAACAGAAAUGGGCAUAGAGGUAAUAAGGAUAAAACAAUGAGUUCUUGACAUUUUAUGUCACUGUUGCAGAAAGGAAGGCAAUAUGGUUUGGCUGUGUCCCUACCCAAAAUCUCAUCGUGAAUUGUAACUCGAAUUAUAAUCCCCACGUAUUGGGGGAAGAACCUCAUAGGAGGUGAUUAGAUCAUGGGGGUAGUUCCCCCAUGCUGUUCUCAUGAUUCUCAAGAUAGUGAGUUUUCACAAGAUUUGGUGGUUUUAUAAGAGGUUUUUCCCUGCUUCGCUCUGUACUUCUCCUCCCUGCCAUCGCAUGAAGAAGGACAUAUUUACUUCUCUGUCUGCCAUGGGUUGUAAGUUUCCUGAGGCGUCCCCAGCCAUGCAGAACUGUGAGUCAAUUAAACCUCUUUCCUUUAUAAAUUACCCAGUCUUGGGCAGUUCUUUACAACAGCAUGAGAACGGACUAAUACAGAAGGGAAACUCUAGUGAUAUCCUAGUAUCUGCUGGUGGUGAUUUAGAUGGUGUGGAGAAGCAGCAAAAGGUUCACAGGGGAAUAGUCUUAGUUAUCUGACUGCUGAGCCAGUGGAGGCAUCAGUAACCCUGCCAGGUGGUGAGGAAGACGCUGGACAAGGUAAGAAAGGGGCUUGGAGAAAUAAAACUGGUUUCAGAGACUGGUCCUUGCAUACAAGAUGCAAAGAGGUGUGGUGUUCUUGAGCUUGUCCUGUAUCUGAAUAAGUCCAGACAUGCAGAUCUGCAGUUAUUAUCCAGGGAGCAGGUGAUACCAAAGCAUGGUGGCUGGUCAGUUCCUUCACAGCCAAGACCCAGCCGCUGGCCAGGAUAUGGAGAUUCAUUCAAGCAGCUCAGAGAUGAGAACAGAGUUUCAAUUCCAGCUGCAACUGGAGUCCUGGAGGGAAAUCAAGGUUGUAAUCCUGACUGCGGUCUAGGGCAAAAGAGAGGAGAGCAGAGAAAGAAAUAGUGGAGAUGAAAUCAAUGGCAGCAGGGCCCCUCUCCUGCCACUGUGGGCUGAACUGCUGCUGACCUUCUGACAGGGUCAGGAUGAAUGUGAACUCAAGGGACCUACACUACAGAUGAAGGUCUUCCAUGGUGCCAGUGGUGUAUAGAGAAGACAGAGAUUGAACAUCACAGCACCCAUACAGGGUAGGUUUUGAGCCAGACUGGAAAUCCCAGUCUGACAAAGUACACUAGUCAUCAAUUUGGCACACUGCUGAGAUGUGAAACAGGUAGCUGGAAAACAAUACCUUGACUGGUAGGCCAUUUAUUUAAAGAAAAUAAAAAAUAAUUUUAACCAGAUGGCUAAAUAAUUUUGAUAGUAAUUUGUAAUUUUAACAGGGUUUAGGACAUGGGAAAAUUUUCCUAGAUAAAUAGUAAGAAAUGUUCCAAGCUGGACUCAAGAAUUAAAUGAACAGUAAAAUAAUUCCUGACUACCUCUGUCAUAUAUAGAAGCCCAUUCGACUUAACUGUUCAUCUGACCAGCCUAGUCUUGUAGAAAACUGGCCAGGCCAGUCCCGUAAUUUCUAUUUCUCUCUGAAGUCCUUAUGUCCUGUCAGUCAAUUUUGACAGGAUCCUGAGAGAGGCAUUUAAGAAUACUCAGAUUUUUUUUUUUUUUUUUUUGCUUAUUUUUUGUUGUGGUUCUAUAUUUCUGUUUACUUGAAGAGCUUCCAUUCUCCAUGCACACAGACAAAAAAAGUAUAAAUCCUGGAAUAAUAGGAGCAAGCUCUUAUACACCUAUAACACCUACACUAUCUAGUAGAGUUACUACAUGGCAUUAGAAGCACCCAAUGUACCAUGUAAUUGAUCUUUAAUUUUAUUUAUUCCAUUUUGUUAGAGAAUUUUGAACUAAGAUUUCU
rnacentral:lncRNA from 10 species